GACGAACCGUCCAAACGUUAUUCGGAAUCACUGGGCUUACAGAGUUCGUAGGCGGUCUGGAAAGUUGGGUGUGAAAUCCCUCGGCUCAACCGAGGAACUGCGCUUGAAACUACCAGACUCGAGGGAGAUAGAGGAAAGCGGAACUGAUGGUGGAGCGGUGAAAUGCGUUGAUAUCAUCAGGAACACCGGUGGCGAAGGCGGCUUCUGGGUC
rnacentral:rRNA from 1 species